rnacentral:misc_RNA from 1 species
GAUGAAGAACGUAGCGAAAUGCGAUAAGUAGUGUGAAUUGCAGAAUUCAGUGAAUCAUCGAAUCUUUGAACGCACAUUGCGCCCGCUGGUACUCCGGCGGGCACGCCUGUCCGAGCGUCAUUUCAACCCUCAAGCCCUCCUUCGGGAUGGGCCUGGUGUUGGGGCUCGGCCGCCAUCUCCGGCGGCCGUCCCCUAAAUACAGUGGCGGUCACGUCGCGACUCCUUUGCGUAGUAGAAACACCUCGCUCCGGAUAGCAACGCGGUCCACGCCGUAAAACCCCCAAUUUUCAAUGGUUGACCUCGGAUCAGGUGGGAAUACCCGCUGAACUUAAGCAUAUCAAUAAGCGGAGGA